rnacentral:rRNA from 1 species
AUUGAACGCUGGCGGCAGGCCUAACACAUGCAAGUCGAACGAGUGGCGGACGGGUGAGUAAUGUCUGGGAAACUGCCUGAUGGAGGGGGAUAACUACUGGAAACGGUAGCUAAUACCGCAUACCAUCAGAUGUGCCCAGAUGGGAUUAUCUAGUUGGUGGGUUAACGGCUCACAAAGGCGACGAUCCCUAGCUGGUCUGCGAGUAUGACCAGCCACCCUGGAACGGAGACACGGUCCAGACUCCGACGUGAGGCAGCAGUGGGGAAGAUUGCACAAUGGGCGCAAGCCUGAUGCAGCCAUGCCGCGGGUAUGAAGAAGGCCUUAGGGUUGUAAAGUACUUUCAGCAGGGAGGCGUUACCCGCAGAAGAAGCACCGGCUAACUCCGUGCCAGCAGCCGCGGUAAUAC